rnacentral:rRNA from 1 species
UUAUUGGGCGUAAAGCGAGCGCAGGCGGAAGAAUAAGUCUGAUGUGAAAGCCCUCGGCUUAACCGAGGAACUGCAUCGGAAACUGUUUUCUUGAGUGCAGAAGAGGAGAGUGGAACUCCAUGUGUAGCGGUGGAAUGCGUAGAUAUAUGGAAGAACACCAGUGGCGAAGGCGGCUCUCUGGUCUGCAACUGACGCUGAGGCUCGAAAGCAUGGGUAGCGAACAGGAUUAGAUACCCUGGUAGUCCAUGCCGUAAACGAUGAGUGCUAAGUGUUGGGAGGUUUCCGCCUCUCAGUGCUGCAGCUAACGCAUUAAGCACUCCGCCUGGGGAGUACGACCGCAAGGUUGAAACUCAAAGGAAUUGACGGGGGCCCGCACAAGCGGUGGAGCAUGUGGUUUAAUUCGAAGCAACGCGAAGAACCUUACCAGGUCUUGACAUCUAGUGCCAUUUGUAGAGAUACAAAGUUCCCUUCGGGGACGCUAAGACAGGUGGUGCAUGGCUGUCGUCAGCUCGUGUCGUGAGAUGUUGGGUUAAGUCCCGCAACGAGCGCAACCCUUGUUAUUAGUUGCCAGCAUUAAGUUGGGCACUCUAAUGAGACUGCCGGUGACAAACCGGAGGAAGGCGGGGAUGACGUCAAGUCAUCAUGCCCCUUAUGACCUGGGCUACACACGUGCUACAAUGGGCAGUACAACGAGAAGCGAGCCUGCGAAGGCAAGCGAAUCUCUGAAAGCUGUUCUCAGUUCGGACUGCAGUCUGCAACUCGACUGCACGAAGCUGGAAUCGCUAGUAAUCGCGGAUCAGCACGCCGCGGUGAAUACGUUCCCGGGCCUUGUACACACCGCCCGUCACACCAUGGGAGUCUGCAAUGCCCAAAGCCGGUGGCCUAACCUUCGGGAAGGAGCCGUCUAAGGCAGGGCAGAUGACUGGGGUGAAGUC